UAAGGUUCGGUCCAUGACCAAGCAGCGCUGGUGUCCCCAGGGAAGCUGUUGGUAAUUCAUCCUAGUCAUGAGCUGGGAUCUGCAGCUUCCUGAGAACCACAGAGCAAGGCUUCCAGACGCCUCUGCAAAGGAGAG
rnacentral:lncRNA from 1 species